GAGGAAUAUUGGUCAAUGGGCGCGAGCCUGAACCAGCCAAGUAGCGUGAAGGAUGACUGCCCUAUGGGUUGUAAACUUCUUUUAUAAGGGAAUAAAGUGAGGCACGUGUGCCUUAUUGUAUGUACCGUACGAAUAAGGAUCGGCUAACUCCGUGCCAGCAGCCGCGGUAAUACGGAGGAUCCGAGCGUUAUCCGGAUUUAUUGGGUUUAAAGGGUGCUCAGGCGGGGGAUUAAGUCGGCGGUGAAAUUUUGCAGCUCAACUGUAAAAGUGCCUUCGAAACUGGUUUCCUUGAGUGCGGAUGAGGUAGGCGGAAUUUGUGGUGUAGCGGUGAAAUGCAUAGAUAUCACGAGGAACUCCGAUUGCGCAGGCAGCUUACCAAGCCGUAACUGACGCUCAAGCACGAAGGCGUGGGGAUCAAACA
rnacentral:rRNA from 1 species